rnacentral:rRNA from 1 species
CUACGUGCCAGCAGCCGCGGUAAUACGUAGGGCGCGAGCGUUGUCCGGAAUUAUUGGGCGUAAAGAGCUUGUAGGCGGUUUGUCGCGUCUGCUGUGAAAGGCCGGGGCUUAACCCCGUGUAUUGCAGUGGGUACGGGCAGACUAGAGUGCAGUAGGGGAGACUGGAAUUCCUGGUGUAGCGGUGGAAUGCGCAGAUAUCAGGAGGAACACCGAUGGCGAAGGCAGGUCUCUGGGCUGUAACUGACGCUGAGAAGCGAAAGCAUGGGGAGCGAACAGGAUUAGAUACCCUGGUAGUCCAUGCCGUAAACGUUGGGCACUAGGUGUGGGGGACAUUCCACGUUUUCCGCGCCGUAGCUAACGCAUUAAGUGCCCCGCCUGGGGAGUACGGCCGCAAGGUUGAAACUCAAAGGAAUUGACGGGGGCCCGCACAAGCGGUGGAGUAUGUGGUUUAAUUCGACGCAACGCGAAGAACCUUACCAGGUCUUGACAU